UACAACAUGAUUAUAGUUUUACUUUUAUUUAAAGAAAAAAAAACAUCUUAAGUUAAUUCCGUUGUUUGAUUGUAUUUCUACAAGGUGAUCGUUCACAACUCACGCUAGAAUGGUUUCAUUUCACAGCCAAUAAUGCAAUGUUAAAUAUGUUAUGAACUUGAAUGAAACUACUUUAUCAAUAAAUAUGCAAUGUAAAAGGGUUAAUUCCAGUUUCAAGCAAGAAGAAUUAUAUUUGCAACUGUAUUGCUCUCGUAUACUUAUAAUUACUUUCUCUACUAUUACAGUCAAUUCCAUCUUCUCGUCGUAAUACAAAGGCUUGAUACAUUUUAGAAAGGAAAACACUUCACCACUAAAGAAUUUGAUAUCAAAACUUUUCAUAUUUCGCAGAACAGAUAUGAAAAGAACUCGGAAGACAAAACAUCAUAUUGGUGGAAUACAACAUAUCACUUUAGAUAUUUCCGUUUAGAAGAGAGGCACAUAUAGCUUACAUUGUAAUAUACAGAACUGGUAGAAUAAUUUUAAAUGCUAGUAUUAAGUUACUGUCCAGUAGAAUCACUGGGACAAGUGUGUACACCAGGAGAUAUCCAACCCGAUUGUUAUAAAAAAAAACACCAAUAUUUUAUCGGUAUUCAAAGGCAUACUGGUAAGUUACCGAGCUGAAAGAAUCUUGACGGAUUAUUUUGUCCACUGGUUGAGAUUUUAAACCAGUGGUGAAAAUAUUCUUCUGACACACGAAGAGUUAACAGUGAAUUAUUAUCCCAAAUAUGGUUAUCCAAGGCGAUAUUACAAACAUAACAAAGGCUACAACAAAUAUAAUAAAUACAAUGGAUAUCCAGGCAAGAAAGGCUGGAAUAAAGGAUGAAAAAAGGCUAAAAUAAAGGUCGAUAUGGACGAAAAUAUUAUUGAAACAAAGACUAAAACUUAUAGUACAGAUAUAUGAAAGAUAUCAACAUUGAUAUGAAUGAUCAAUAAAUAAAUACAGCUUAAUGUAUGGUUCCACUUACUUA